GUGCUCGCUUCGGCAGCACAUAUACUAAUAUUGAAAUGAUACAGAGAAGAUAAGCAUGGCCCCUGUGCAAGGAUGACAUGCAAAUUUGUGAAGCGUUCCAUACUUUU
ensembl:snRNA U6 U6 spliceosomal RNA